CACGGACGUGUUUUUCUAGUAGUUUUGUAAUUUUUCGCAGCUUAUACCAUAAUGAAUGACGAAAAACUUAUUCAAUUGGUGCAAACGUAUCCCGUUUUGUAUGAUUUAUCUCAUGCGAAAUAUAUGGACGCGGAAUUUAAAAAAAUUAUUUGGAGUAAAUUAGCAGAGGAGUUGGAAACAACUGGUAAGAAAUACAUUAUUUUUAAUAUUAAUAUUAUUACUAGAGUACCUACGGAUGUAUAUGCAUUUAAAAUUACCAAAUAUGCACUAAACAUCAUAAAAAUAGGCAAAAUUUUAAUAGUAUUAUUUGAUUUAUUUGAACAUGAAUCAAAUUUAUAUCUAGGUUAACAUUAAAUUGGAUGUAUACAAAACAAAUGUGUAAUUUCAUAAACACCCGAGAC